UACAGAGGUGGCAAGCGUUGUUCGGAAUUACUGGGCGUAAAGGGCGCGUAGGCGGCCUUCUAAGUCGGACGUGAAAGCCCCAGGCUUAACCUGGGAACUGCGUCCGAUACUGGGAGGCUUGGAUUCGGGAGAGGGAUGUGGAAUUCCAGGUGUAGCGGUGAAAUGCGUAGAUAUCUGGAGGAACACCGGUGGCGAAGGCGGCAUCCUGGACCGAGAUCGACGCUGAGGCGCGAAAGCUAGGGGAGCAAACGGGG
rnacentral:rRNA from 1 species